AUUUCUGUUCAUGUAGUUUAAUAAAAACAUUACAUUUUCACUGUAAAAAUAAAGAAAAUUUCAUAAACU
rnacentral:tRNA from 1 species